rnacentral:snRNA from 1 species
AUCAGUGUGUUCAGCCCAGAGCGAACUAUUCUUUCGCCUUUUACUAAAGAAUACCGUGUGCGGGACACAGAAGCAGCUUGUUCAAAUAUUUGGAAUGCUCCUUCGUUGGAGCAA